rnacentral:lncRNA from 1 species
AAUUUGCUGCACAUGUCUGAUUAUUUACUACAUCAUAUCGCCAUAUUCUUUCUCAUCAAAUCUAUCAUGAAACGAAAAUGUUUUGAGUUUUUUGGUCUUAUUAAUAAUUUAUACAAGUACCCGUGAUAGGAGAGUUAGUUAGACUCGAUUAUGAAGCUCCAUGUAAACGAAGGGAGUAUUUUAAAUCUCAUAUUUUGUGUUUGACUAUUUCGUUCCCAAUUUAAUUG